CCUACGGGCGGCAGCAGUGAGGAAUAUUGGUCAAUGGCCGGAAGGCUGAACCAGCCAUGCCGCGUGAAGGUCAGUGCCCUAUGGGCGUUAAACUUCUUUUGUGCGGGAGCAAUAAUGGUCACGUGUGGCCAGACGAGAGUACCGUACGAAUAAGCAUCGGCUAACUCCGUGCCAGCAGCCGCGGUAAUACGGGGGAUGCAAGCGUUAUCCGGAUUUAUUGGGUUUAAAGGGUGCGUAGGCUGUUAGGUAAGUCAGCGGUGAAAUGCCCCCGCUCAACGGGGUGAAGUGCCAUUGAUACUGCCUUGCUGGAAUGCGGAUGCCGUGGGAGGAAUGUGUGGUGUAGCGGUGGAAUGCAUAGAUAUCACACAGAACACCGAUUGCGAAGGCAUCUCACGAAUCCGCGAUUGACGCUGAUGCACGAAAGCGUGGGUAUCAAACAGGAUUAGAUACCCCAGUAGUC
rnacentral:rRNA from 1 species